CCUGGAGGAAGGUGGGGAUGACGUCAAAUCAUCAUGCCCCUUAUGCUUAGGGCUACACACGUGCUACAAUGGGUAGUACAGAGGGUUGCCAAGCCGUAAGGUGGAGCUAAUCCCUUAAAGCUACUCUUAGUUCGGAUUGUAGGCUGAAACUCGCCUACAUGAAGCUGGAGUUACUAGUAAUCGCAGAUCAGAAUGCUGCGGUGAAUGCGUUCCCGGGUCUUGUACACACCGCCCGUCACACCACGGGAGUUGGAGACGCCCGAAGCCGAUUAUCUAACCUUUUGGAAGAAGUCGUCGAAGGUGGAAGCAAUAACUGGGGUGAAGUCGUAACAAGGUAGCCGUAUCGGAAGGUGCGGCUGGAUCACCUCCUUUCUAAGGAGA
rnacentral:rRNA from 1 species